UGUAAUACGACUCACUAUAGGGCGAAUUGGGCCCGACGUCGCAUGCUCCCCGCCGCCAUGGCGGCCGCGGGAAUUCGAUUAGAGUUUGAUCAUGGCUCAGGACGAACGCUGGCGGCGUGCCUAAUACAUGCAAGUCGAGCGGAGUUUUCGCGGACGGAAGCCUUCGGGUGGAUGUUGCGAAAACUUAGCGGCGGACGGGUGAGUAACACGUGGGCAACCUGCCCGAAAGACCGGGAUAACAUCCGGAAACGGAUGCUAAUACCGGAUAAGCGGACCUUUCGCAUGAAGGGUUCGGGAAAGACGGGGUAACCUGUCACUUUCGGAUGGGCCCGCGGCGCAUUAGCUGGUUGGCGGGGUAACGGCCCACCAAGGCGACGAUGCGUAGCCGACCUGAGAGGGUGAACGGCCACACUGGGACUGAGACACGGCCCAGACUCCUACGGGAGGCAGCAGUAGGGAAUCUUCCGCAAUGGACGAAAGUCUGACGGAGCAACGCCGCGUGAGUGAGGAAGGUCUUCGGAUCGUAAAGCUCUGUUGCCAGGGAAGAAUCCCCUGGGGAGUCACUGCCCCGGGGUUGACGGUACCUGAGAAGAAAGCCCCGGCUAACUACGUGCCAGCAGCCGCGGUAAUAAUCACUAGUGAAUUCGCGG
rnacentral:rRNA from 1 species